rnacentral:rRNA from 1 species
AGCAUAUGCUUGUCUCAAAGAUUAAGCCAUGCAUGUCUAAGUACAAGCCGCUAGACGGCGAAACCGCGAAUGGCUCAAUAAAUCAGUUAUGGUUCCUUAGAACAGUCAAUCCUACUUGGAUAACUGUGGUAAUUCUAGAGCUAAUACAUGCACCCAAGCCCCGACUCGGGGGGCAACUCUCGAGAAAGGGCGCUUUUAUUAGAUCAAAACCAGUCGAGAGCUUCGGCUCUCGUUAAGUUUGGUGACUCUGGAUAACUUCACGCUGAUCGCACGGUCUUCGCACCGGCGACGAUUCUUUCAAAUGUCUGCCUUAUCAACUGUCGAUGGUAGGUUAUGCGCCUACCAUGGUUGCAACGGGUAACGGGGAAUCGGGGUUCGAUUCCGGAGAGGGAGCCUGAGAAACGGCUACCACAUCCAAGGAAGGCAGCAGGCGCGCAAAUUACCCACUCCCGGCACGGGGAGGUAGUGACGAAAAAUAACGAUACGGGACUCUUCCGAGGCCCCGUGAUUGGAAUGAGUACACUUUAAAUCCUUUAACGAGGACCCAU